rfam:Bacteria symbiont BFo2 of Frankliniella occidentalis strain BFo2 contig156, whole genome shotgun sequence.
GUGAGUCGCUGAAUUAGAGAUCGGCUGCUCGAAUUCAUUUAAAUUUAUUGGAGUAUAUUAUGUCUCUAAGCGUAGAAGCUAAAGCUGAGAUCGUUGCUAAAUAUGGUCGUGAUGCU